CCGCUCGGGGAUGCUGAGAUCAUCUCCCACGUCAUAGCCGGCCUCGACAUCGACUACAACCCCGUGAUCUCGGCCCUAGCCGUGCGGGUUGAACCGGUUACGAUUCAAUAGCUCUGCAGCCAACUCCUGAGCUUCGACG
rnacentral:snoRNA from 1 species